rnacentral:rRNA from 1 species
UACGGAGGGGGCUAGCGUUGUUCGGAAUUACUGGGCGUAAAGCGCACGUAGGCGGCUUUGUAAGUUAGAGGUGAAAGCCCGAGGCUCAACUCCGGAAUUGCCUUUAAGACUGCAUCGCUAGAAUUGUGGAGAGGUAAGUGGAAUUCCGAGUGUAGAGGUGAAAUUCGUAGAUAUUCGGAAGAACACCAGUGGCGAAGGCGACUUACUGGACACAUAUUGACGCUGAGGUGCGAAAGCGUGGGGAGCAAACAGG